UAAGAUGGCUUCUUAUUUCUUAUCCUUGCUAGUUGUGUUCCUUGCAGCUCUGAUCCUCAUCCCUCAAGGGUUUAAUGCUGAGGAGGAUUUCUACAAACACCCAAAGUAUGGACAUCAGCCUAUCUACAAGAAGCCACCACAUUACAAGUCACCUGUUUACAAGCCACCCUACAAGAAGCCACCAUACAAGAAGUACCCUCCUUAUGGUAAGCACCCUCCAGUUGAAGACAACACCCAUUUCUAGAACUUGCAAGGAGACAUGUUUGACUUAUAUGUAUUAAAUAAGUGGUCUCGUACCACUGCUUCAAUUCUACUAUCCUAAUUUGCUAAAG
rnacentral:lncRNA from 1 species